rnacentral:rRNA from 1 species
GACGAACGCUGGCGGCGUGCCUAAUACAUGCAAGUAGAACGCUGAAGGAGGAGCUUGCUUCUCUGGAUGAGUUGCGAACGGGUGAGUAACGCGUAGGUAACCUGCCUGGUAGCGGGGGAUAACUAUUGGAAACGAUAGCUAAUACCGCAUAAUAGUAGAUGUUGCAUGACAUUUGCUUAAAAGGUGCAAUUGCAUCACUACCAGAUGGACCUGCGUUGUAUUAGCUAGUUGGUGAGGUAGCGGCUCACCAAGGCGACGAUACAUAGCCGACCUGAGAGGGUGAUCGGCCACACUGGGACUGAGACACGGCCCAGACUCCUACGGGAGGCAGCAGUAGGGAAUCUUCGGCAAUGGACGGAAGUCUGACCGAGCAACGCCGCGUGAGUGAAGAAGGUUUUCGGAUCGUAAAGCUCUGUUGUAAGAGAAGAACGAGUGUGAGAGUGGAAAGUUCACACUGUGACGGUAUCUUACCAGAAAGGGACGGCUAACUACGUG